GAGGGAGGUAUGAUACAACAAGAACUGCUAAUUCUUUUCCCCUAGGUUGAAUUCCCAGGCUCUCUUA
rnacentral:tRNA from 1 species